CCCGGAGAGAAGCCACAGACACACACUGCUUCAGCUGCGAGUGCUUGCAAACAGUGUUCGGUGUGUCUCGGCUCUGCUAACAGUUGGGAGAGGAAGAUCCCUGUACCCGCGUUUCCAUGGCAAAACACUCGCUGAAACCACCCCUUUCUGCUUCUCUUUCAUGGCGGUAAUAACAAUGUUCACCACCCCACGCAGCUGGUGCUCAGAGCUUCCUGCUCGCAGCCACGUUGGCACAUGGCAAGAGGGAGGGGAGACGAGCCAGCGUGUGCACCCUGGCGAGAUGCCCGAGGACGCUGGAGAAGGGCUGGCUUCGAGCUGCUCUAAUUAAGAAAGAGAAGGGUAUUGUGGAUGCAUGCCUGCUGCUACUGGAUGGCUCCAGACUUUCCUGCGGACAUGUCUUUCUUCCCGUCAGGAUUCAGAUAGUUUUUAGAAACUGGUCUGUAAGCUCUAUUAAGCCGUCUACCAAUGGGGUUGG